rnacentral:rRNA from 1 species
UAGGGAAUCUUCCGCAAUGGGCGAAAGCCUGACGGAGCAACGCCGCGUGAGUGAUGAAGGUCUUCGGAUCGUAAAACUCUGUUAUUAGGGAAGAACAAAUGUGUAAGUAACUAUGCACGUCUUGACGGUACCUAAUCAGAAAGCCACGGCUAACUACGUGCCAGCAGCCGCGGUAAUACGUAGGUGGCAAGCGUUAUCCGGAAUUAUUGGGCGUAAAGCGCGCGUAGGCGGUUUUUUAAGUCUGAUGUGAAAGCCCACGGCUCAACCGUGGAGGGUCAUUGGAAACUUGAAAGCUUGAGUGCAGAAGAGGAAAGUGGAAUUCCAUGUGUAGCGGUGAAAUGCGCAGAGAUAUAGAGGAACACCAGUGGCGAAGGCGACUUUCUGGUCUGUAACUGACGCUGAUGUGCGAAAGCGUGGGGAUCAAACAGG